rnacentral:rRNA from 1 species
UACGUAGGUGACAAGCGUUGUUCGGAUUCAUUGGGCGUAAAGGGUCCGCAGGUGGUUAAACAAGUCUGACGUGAAAUACCGGAGCUCAACUCCGGAAUUGCGUUGGAAACUGUAUAACUGGAGUACCGGAGAGGAAAUUGGAAUUUCAGGUGUAGCGGUGGAAUGCGUAGAUAUCUGAAAGAACAUCGAAAGCGAAGGCAGAUUUCUGGACGGUUACUGACACUCAGGGACGAAAGCAUGGGGAGCAAAC